rnacentral:misc_RNA from 1 species
UUUCCGUAGGUGAACCUGCGGAAGAAUCAUUGUCGUGACCCUGACCAAAACAUACCGCGCAUGCAUCAUCCAAUCCGACGGCGAUGCACCGUCCGUCGCUCGGCCAAGUCCUCGACCACAUCCCCUCCUCGGAGUGGGUCGGGGCUCGGGGUAAAAGAACCCACGGCGCCAAAGGCGUCAAGGAACACUGUGCCUAACCCAGGGGCAUGGCUAGCUUACUAGUCGUCCCCCAUGUUGCGAAGUUAUUUAAUCCACACGACUCUUGGCAACGGAUAUCUUGGCUCU